CAAAUUAGUUUUUUGCGUAGGUACAAUGAAGCAGGGAAGGCCUUUACAUGCAGACAAACCCGUAACGCGACCGUCUUCCGACAGCGGGGCUACCUACCUCUGCAGAAACUGAACCAAAAACGGCUAUCUUUCUAUACAACAGUACCUAUAUAUCGAAGAUCACACCGAAUAUUCCAAACUACUUGCUGUGGAUAUGACAUAUAUUAAUGUAGACUACAACAAGAUUUGGUGGGUUCUCUUCACUUCCUGUGGGCCUAUCUGGACUGUGGAUCCAGGAUGGAGUGGAUACAUGGCGGUUGCCCAUCAUUCUCCGCCAUAUAAAAUGUCCUGUGAUUCCAGCAAUGCCUUUCAUUAACCUCAACCGCUUAUGGCAAACAAGGUUUUCAAGGAAUCUUAUAUAUAGUCCAACAUUCUACGCCAAUGGAUUGUGGGUGAAAUGAAAGAUGAUGGAUACACAGUGAACCACUUGGCUGCCUUUGAACAAUCGUGUGGAGGUGGCGGCGGUACAGUUGGUCCUUCAUGGAUGUAGGUACAGAAUUUGAACUGCUCCCUCUGGCUGUCGGACCCCAACAACACACGCACAUUAUUUGAUUUCUCGUCGAAGAGUCCACCAAGGACUUCCAUCCAAAGGUGAAGAGAAACGCUCGGCGCUUAUCAAUUGUAUAAAAGCGGUCUCAAGCAGUAAGUACCUACCUCCAUCGCCAGCUAUCUAAAACGACGACACUUUUCCGAUGCGAAGACCGAAGGAACUAGUCACCUCUGCAAUUCUUAGGGAUGAGUACUAUUCACCAUCACAACUUCGAAUUUGGCGCUGUCAUCAUCAUCAUUCCGGUCCAUCCGUCAUCCAGAUUUACUCUGACUAUGGUGUUCACUAGUAACUUCAAUUUCCAUUUGUGCAUGCAUAAGUUAUUUAUUUUUUAAGUUAUCACUGUUACAAGAAGAUCUUUGUAAUACAAAAAAAGAAACCUAUUUCCUUUGUUCACCUCUAGAAUAAUAUUGUACUGCCCUGACUGAACUUUGCUGGCGGCUGGAUAUUUUUUUAAUUAACAAGAUAAUCUAUAUUUAAACUUUAUUAA